ACACGACUACAUUAGAUACCCCUGUAGUCCUAGCCGUAAACGAUACUCGCUAGGUGUCGGCCACGGUGCGACCGUUGUCGGUGCCGUAGGGAAGCCGUGAAGCGAGCCACCUGGGAAGUACGGCCGCAAGGCUGAAACUUAAAGGAAUUGGCGGGGGAGCGCAACAACGGGUGGAGCUUGCGGUUUAAUUGGAUUCAACGCCGGAAAUCUUACCGGGACCGACAGCAACAUGAAGGCCAAGCUGAAGACUUUGCCGGAUUAGCUG
rnacentral:rRNA from 1 species